rnacentral:rRNA from 1 species
CCCCUAGAUGUUCUGGGCCGCACGCGCGCUACACUGAACAGUUCAACAAGUCUUAACCUUGGCCGAUAGGUCUGGGUAAUCUUUGAACGCUGUUCGUGAUUGGGGUAGACCUUUGCAAUUAUGGGUCUUCAACGAGGAAUUCCUAGUAAACGCAAGUCAUCAGCUUGCAUUGAUUACGUCCCUGCCCUUUGUACACACCGCCCGUCGCACCUACCGAUUGAAUGGUCCGGUGAAAUCUUCGGAUCUGAGAGAUGUCUGAUUAAUUUCGGACGCCUUUUGGAAAAGUUGCUUAAACCUUACCAUUUAGAGGAAGGUGAAGUCGUAACA